CCGGGGCCGACCUCCCGCGCUUGCGUGCUGCGGCCCGAGAGCCCGGAGCGGGCAGGGGGCGGCGCGCGGGAGGGCGGAGAGCGGCCCGUGGGGCGGUGGUGUCGGGGGUGGAGAUGUAGAAGGAUGUGACGCCGCGGCCCGGCCGUGCCAGACGGUGGACUCCUGUGGCCCGCGGCUGCCAGCCGGAUCCUCGGGAGCUGCAGC
rnacentral:other from 1 species